GUGCGAAGGUAGCAUAAUCAUUAGUCUCUUAAUUGGAGGCUUGUAUGAAUGGUUGGACAAAAAGCAAACUGUCUCAAUUAUAUUUAUUGAAUUUAACUUUUAAGUGAAAAGGCUUAAAUAACUUAAGGGGACGAUAAGACCCUAUAAAGCUUUACAAUAAGUUAUCUAUAUUAUAAAUUGUUAGUAUAACUUGAUUUUAGAUAAUAUUUGUUGCGUUGGGGCGACGGGAAUAUAAUGAGUAACUGUUCUUAAGCUAUUUAAUAACAGGAAUUUCUGGAAAAUUAAUGAUCCUCUUUUAGAGAUCAUAAGAUUAAGUUACUUUAGGGAUAACAGCGUAAUCUUCUUUGAGAGUCCAUAUCGACAGGAAGGGUUGCGACCUCGAUGUUGAAUUAAGG
rnacentral:rRNA from 1 species